AUUAAAGGAUUAGUCUGUAAUAUAUGGUUAAUUUGAAAAAUCUAUUCUUCAGUACAUAGUAUACUUGAAGUUUUCCUGUUUGAGUGAUGAAGGUGGAUUUGUAUGAAUAGUAGAUGAUGGGAGGGCCAAACGUGAUACUGGCUCAGGAUCUUUUGCGGUUCCCCUUUUAAUUCCUGGCUGUCUCUAGCCCUUUAUUCCCAAAGCUUUUCUCCUUGCUUGCUUAUUUAAACUUUG
rnacentral:lncRNA from 1 species